CCUACGGGAGGCAGCAGUGGGGAAUAUUGCACAAUGGGGGAAACCCUGAUGCAGCGACGCCGCGUGAGUGAUGAAGUAUUUCGGUAUGUAAAGCUCUAUCAGCAGGGAAGCUAAUGACGGUACCUGACUAAGAAGCUCCGGCUAAAUACGUGCAAGCAGCCGCGGUAAUACGUAUGGAGCAAGCGUGAUCCGGAUUUAAUGGGUGUAAAGGGAGCGCAGACGGCAGGGCAAGUCUGAUGUGAAAGUCCGGGGCGCAACCCCGGGACUGCAUUGGAAACUGUCCGGCUAGAGUGCAGGAGAGGUAAGUGGAAUUCCUAGUGUAGCGGUGAAAUGCAUAGAUAUUAGGAGGAACACCAGUGGCGAAGGCGGCAUACUGGACUGUAACUGACGUUGAGGCUCGAAAGCGUGGGGAGCAAACAGGAUUAGAUACCCUAGUAGUC
rnacentral:rRNA from 1 species